GCACCCGUAGCUCAGUAGGAUAGAGCACUGGUUUCCUAAACCAGGUGUCGGGGGUUCGAAUCCCUCCGGGUGUACCA
rnacentral:tRNA from 1 species